CCUCUCCCUGGGCGGCAGCCUCUUGGCUCUGGCGGGGUGUCUCUGCCUCUGAGCAGGGGCCUUUGGCCUGGACUCUGAGCCUGCGCUACGCGUCGGCAAGUGUCGCCGGGUCCCCAGUGGCUCACACCCCCGUGGUUGUCCCGUCUUUCCCGGUCUGCGUAAUCUUGCUGUCCCCGAGCCCUGUUGUGCUAGCUUUCUGGUGCCUCCGAGCCUGUUUCUGUGUUUGUUUCAGCUGGUUUUUCUAGUAGCUCUCGGCAGGGCUGCCGAUCUGGCAAAAACCGGCUCCCUGCCGUAGCUGGAAGUGGCAGGCCAUCACUGCGGGUUUGUAGGGUUGAAAGGAAGUCCUUCCUCCACUGUGUACGCAUUGCGUCUCGGAAGGCGCUUGGGACACCCACUCUGUGGGCGUGAGGGGGGCUGGCACGGGCAGUCCUCUGGGGGCCACCUCACUCCCCGGGAGCCUGCGUGUGGCUGCCCCCACCUCAGGAGAGGCAGCUAGGGGCAGGUGGCCCCGGCUGGAGUCCUGGCCACUCCCUUGCUUUGUGACCUUGGACGAAUCACGGCUCAGUGCCUCAGAGCCCUCUGAAACAGAACAGCCUGCACUGUCAGGGAGGUGGCCUGGGCCUCCGCUGUCCUGGGCGUGAAGUAAAAACCAAAUACAAGAAGUCUCUGAGAAGUGGGAGAAGACGACCCUGGGACCCCAGGACCAACCAGGAAAGGGGCUGCCUAGCAGGACAGAAGGCUUCAGACAGUAACGC